rnacentral:tRNA from 1 species
GCCUUAUUAGCGCAGUAGGUAACGCUUCAGGCUCAUAAUCUGACGGUCGUGAGUUCGAUCCUCACAUGGGGCA